AUUUAUUCUUUUAAAUUAACCACAUCAUUUUUUGUUAUACCAAAUUUUCAAUUUAUACCAAUAUUUUUAAAAUACCAAUUUGUUUAAAAUUUACUUAAUUUACCGAAUUAUAGAUUUUAUUUAUUAAUUUUACCUUGUGCUCGAGGGAAUUUACCCUCCUACUUGCAUAUGUGGUAUGGGGAGCACAUUUGCGAAGACCCCUCAACAUUCGUAGAAGCCUACUAGGUCAACAUGACGCGCAAGGCUUGGUGCAAUAUGCAGCUACUUAGAGUGUAGUGGCACUCCCACACACAGACCCUAUGCGCAAAUGCGCACCAGCACGGAUCGCAGUGCCAUGAACAUGCCCGCACGACUAUGACGACAACAACUACAACUAUUAUCAUGAUUAGAAUUAUUAAGACAAUGACUAUAGGUCUGACAACCUAUCUAUGUGGUGGAUUGUAAUCGCUUUUUUGAAGUAUAUCGCUAGUAACUUAAAAAAAUAUUAAGAACCAAACAUCCUAAUGAUCAAUUCCUAAGGGUAGUUAAACCUGUUGGACCAUAUCAAUCCAUUUUUCUGGUUGUUCAUAUCAGUGAAUGGCACCAUUAUCUUCGCUUGUUCCCCAUUAGCAAACCCUACAUGAAACUGUUGCUGUACUUACGAGUUCAUCUUGUCAACGAACCACACAUGCUGAUGCUGUAGCUCCUGCACUAGAGAAUCCUCUUUGAUUUGAGCUGGCAUCUCCCGAGGACCCUUCAUGACUUUUUUGUCUGGUGGUCCCCUAAGGCUGAAGUGACUUGCUAAGUGUUUUUGUCCUAUUCUGGAUUUCUUUAAGGUGUUGCUCGAUGAGCCCACCCAAAUCGUUGAGAUCGAUAAGGUUGAGUUGGUGGAGGGAAUUCCCAAUUAGACUU
rnacentral:lncRNA from 1 species